rnacentral:rRNA from 1 species
GAUCAUGACUCAGGAUGAACGCUAGCUACAGGCUUAACACAUGCAAGUCGAGGGGCAGCAUGAACUUAGCUUGCUAAGUUUGAUGGCGACCGGCGUACGGGUGAGUAACACGUAUCCAACCUGCCGAUGACUCGGGGAUAGCCUUUCGAAAGAAAGAUUAAUACCCGAUGGCAUAGUUCUUCCGCAUGGUAGAACUAUUAAAGAAUUUCGGUCAUCGAUGGGGAUGCGUUCCAUUAGGUUG